UAUGGUCACAUCAGAUUGAAGCAUCAAUUACCAUGUGAACACCGAAGUUAAGCAAUGUCGAGCCUGGUCAGUAUCUAGAUGGUUGAACGCUUGGGAAUACCAGAUGCUGUAA